AUUGAACGCUGGCGGCAGGCCUAACACAUGCAAGUCGAGCGGAUGAAGGGAGCUUGCUCCUGGAUUCAGUGGCGGACGGGUGAGUAAUGCCUAGGAAUCUGCCUGGUAGUGGGGGAUAACGUCCGGAAACGGGCGCUAAUACCGCAUACGUCCUGAGGGAGAAAGGGGGGGAUCUUCGGACCUCACGCUAUCAGAUGAGCCUAGGUCGGAUUAGCUAGUUGGUGGGGUAAAGGCCUACCAAGGCGACGAUCCGUAACUGGUCUGAGAGGAUGAUCAGUCACACUGGAACCGAGACACGGUCCAGACUCCUACGGGAGGCAGCAGUGGGGAAUAUUCGACAAUGGGCGAAAGCCUGAUCCAGCCAUGCCGCGUGUGUGAAGAAGGUCUUCGGAUCGUAAAGCACUUUUAGUUGGGAGGAAGGGCAGUAAGUUAAUCCCUUCCUGUUUUGACGUUACCUACAGAGUAAGCACCGGCUAACUUCGUG
rnacentral:rRNA from 1 species